rnacentral:rRNA from 1 species
CCUACGGGAGGCAGCAGUGGGGAAUAUUGGACAAUGGGCGCAAGCCUGAUCCAGCAAUGCCGCGUGAGUGAUGAAGGCCUUAGGGUCGUAAAGCUCUUUUACCAGGGAUGAUAAUGACAGUACCUGGAGAAUAAGCUCCGGCUAACUCCGUGCCAGCAGCCGCGGUAAUACGGAGGGAGCUAGCGUUGUUCGGAAUUACUGGGCGUAAAGCGUACGUAGGCGGUUAUUCAAGUCAGAGGUGAAAGCCCGGGGCUCAACCCCGGAACGGCCUUUGAAACUAGGUAGCUAGAAUCUUGGAGAGGUCAGUGGAAUUCCGAGUGUAGAGGUGAAAUUCGUAGAUAUUCGGAAGAACACCAGUGGCGAAGGCGACUGACUGGACAAGUAUUGACGCUGAGGUACGAAAGCGUGGGGAGCAAACAGGAUUAGAUACCCUGGUAGUCCACGCCGUAAACGAUGAUAACUAGCUGUUCGGGCACUUGGUGCUUGAGUGGCGCAGCUAACGCAUUAAGUUAUCCGCCUGGGGAGUACGGUCGCAAGNUUAAAACUCAAAGAUAUGCGUGNGAGNGCGACGACGACGACGACGGAGGAG